CUCUGGUUAGCCUGUUAAUUUCUAAAGUUAUUGGGGGUCGGGUGUGAGCCACCGCGCCCAGCCAGAGUCUGCCAUUUUCUCCAGCAGUCUACCUGAUCUUCUUCUCAUUCACAGUUAUUCCUUAUGCCAGAGGCUGCUAGCUGUCCAGGAAAAUCUGUUCUCUUCUUCCUUAGCAAUAGACUACCCAGCCAGAUACUACAUUUCCCAGCCUCCUUUGCAGCUGGGUGAGGCCCUCCAUUCUUACCAUUGGAAUGUGAGCGGAAGUGAUAUGUUGCUCUUUCAAGUCUAGGCCUUAAACUAUUGGGCAUAUGUUCCUCCAUCGUCUCUUUCCUGUCCUAUCACAUAAAACCCGGCUUCUCAUGAUCGAGUUUUGACCAUGCAGAUGAAGACAAUGCACUGGAAGGUGGAGUAACAGUCAGCAAACAGACACCGGCCAGUCUGCACCACUGAACUUGUUAAUGGGAGAUAACUGAACUUCCCCUACCCCUUUUAAAGAUUUUAGUGAUGGGGUUUCACUUUGUUUUCCAGGCUGGAUUUGAACUCCUGGGCUUAAGCGAUCCUCCUGCCUCAGC
rnacentral:lncRNA from 10 species